UUCCGGUUGAUCCUGCCGGACCCGACUGCUAUAUGGGUGAGAAUAAGCCAUGCGAGUUGAAUGGAAUACCUAAAUUUUCCAUGGCAAACUGCUCAGUAACACAUGAUCAACUUACCCUAUAGAGAAAAAUAACCUCGGGAAACUGAGGAUAAUGUUUCAUAGUUGAAAAGGCUUGGAAAAGUUUUUCAACAAAAGGGAUAAGAAAAAUGGUUUUUAUCUGCUAUAGGAUAGGAUCGUGUUCGAUUAUGGUUGUUGGUGAGGUAAUGGCUCACCAAGCCGAUAAUCGAUAGGGGCCGYGAGAGCGGGAGCCCCGAGAUGGGUACUGAGACAACGACCCAGGCCUUAUSAGGCGCAGCAGGCGCGAAACCUCCGCAAUACACGAAAGUGUGACGGGGUUACCCAAAGUGUUCAAUUUUGAACUGUGGUAGGUGAGUAAUGUUCCCUACUAGAGAGGAGAGGGCAAGGCUGGUGCCAGCCGCCGCGGUAAAACCAGCUCUUCAAGUGGUCGGGUUAAUUAUUGGGCUUAAAGUGUCCGUAGCCGGUUUAGUAAGUUCCUGGUAAAAUCGGGUAGCUUAACUAUCUAUAUGCUAGGAAUACUACUAUACUAGAGGGCGGGAGAGGUCUGAGGUACUACAGGGGUAGGGGUGGAAUCUUAUAAUCCUUGUUGGACCACCAGUGGCGAAGGCGUCAGACUGGAACGCGCCUGACGGUGAGGGACGAAAGCCAGGGGAGCGAACCGGAUUAGAUACCCGGGUAGUCCUGGCCGUAAACGAUGCAUACUAGGUGAUGGCACGGCCAUGAGCCGUGUCAGUGCCGUAGGGAAACCGUUAAGUGUGCCGCCUGGGAAGUACGGUCGCAAGGCUAAAACUUAAAGGAAUUGGCGGGGGAGCAC
rnacentral:rRNA from 1 species